AUGGCGGCUCCGGUGGUGGACGCCGAGUACCUGCGCCAGGUCGACAGGGCGCGCCGUGCCCUCCGCGCCCUCAUCGCCUCCAAGGGAUGCGCCCCCAUCAUGCUCCGCCUCGCAUGGCAUGAUGCUGGCACGUAUGAUGUGAACACAAGAACUGGUGGUGCAAAUGGUUCAAUUAGAUACGAGGAAGAGUACACCCAUGGUUCAAAUGCUGGCUUAAAAAUUGCUAUUGAUCUCCUCGAGCCUAUUAAAGCGAAGCAUCCAAAGAUUACAUAUGCAGACCUUUAUCAGCUUGCUGGAGUAGUUGCAGUUGAAGUCACGGGGGGUCCAACUGUUGAGUUCAUCCCUGGAAGACGUGAUUCGUCAGUUUGUCCCCGUGAAGGGCGCCUUCCUGAUGCUAAGAAAGGCGCACCACAUCUGAGGGACAUCUUUUAUCGAAUGGGCUUAACAGACAAAGAUAUUGUAGCACUAUCUGGGGGCCACAGUCUGGGAAAGGCACAUCCUGAAAGGUCUGGGUUUGACGGUGCAUGGACUCGUGAUCCUCUGAAGUUUGACAACUCAUACUUUCUUGAGCUACUGAAAGGGGAAUCAGAAGGUCUUCUGAAGCUCCCUACUGAUAAGGCAUUGUUGGAUGAUCCUGAAUUUAGACGCUAUGUGGAGCUUUAUGCAAAGGACGAGGAUGCUUUCUUCAAGGACUACGCUGAAUCACACAAGAAACUUUCUGAACUUGGCUUCACACCACGGAUCAGUGGCGCAGCAUCUACAAAAUCAGAUGUUUCAACUGCUGUUGUACUUGCACAGAGUGCAGUUGGGGUAGCAGUUGCGGCAGCUGUAGUCAUCGCGGGCUACCUGUACGAGGCUUCCAAGAGGAGCAAGUAA
rnacentral:rRNA from 1 species